rnacentral:rRNA from 1 species
AGCGAACGCUGGCGGCAGGCCUAACACAUGCAAGUCGAACGGAUCCUUCGGGAUUAGUGGCGGACGGGUGAGUAACACGUGGGAACGUGCCCUUUGGUUCGGAACAACUCAGGGAAACUUGGGCUAAUACCGGAUGUGCCCUUCGGGGGAAAGAUUUAUCGCCAUUGGAGCGGCCCGCGUCUGAUUAGCUAGUUGGUGAGGUAACGGCCCACCAAGGCGACGAUCAGUAGCUGGUCUGAGAGGAUGAUCAGCCACACUGGGACUGAGACACGGCCCAGACCCCUACGGGAGGCAGCAGUGGGGAAUCUUGCGCAAUGGGCGAAAGCCUGACGCAGCCAUGCCGCGUGAAUGAUGAAGGUCUUAGGAUUGUAAAAUUCUUUCAGCGGGGACGAUAAUGACGGUACCCGCAGAAGAAGCUCCGGCUAACUUCGUG